GCCUGGGUGGCUCAGUCGGUUGAGUGUCCGACUUCGGCUCAGGUCAUGAUCUCACAGUUCGUGGGUUCAAGCCCCGCGUCAGGCU
rnacentral:tRNA from 1 species